ACAUAUUGAAAAACUACAGUUACCAAGCUCCUUUAACUUUGUAAAAUUCAGCCUCCAAAACUUUUCCCAGUCAGACUUUCUAUGGGCUCCACUCAGGUGUACAAGGCUGGGUCUGGAGUCCGUCUUCCUCAAAACCUUCAACCAGAGUUCUUUAUCUGAACGAUCCAAGGUUGAAAUCAUCACUGCGGGAUGACAACUCCAAGAACCCAAACAUCUGAGGAAGAACACGAAAGUCACAAGAAAGACCCCAAGGAACACUGCAAAGGCGCUUGCCCGAGGCAACACUCGCUUACAUGAGCUUCCAUAAUGCAUGAAGUCACUGAAGAUCUUUGCAGUGGCCCAAAGGAGACCUAGUUACAUGGAUAGUGUUGCAUAUGCUAACCACAUUUUGAGUUAGACAGAGUGGUGUUUGAUGUUAAAUAAAUAAAUAAAAUUGUCCUUAUGAAAAAGUA